rnacentral:rRNA from 1 species
GCUACGGGCGGCAGCAGUGAGGAAUAUUGGUCAAUGGACGAGAGUCUGAACCAGCCAAGUAGCGUGAAGGAUGACUGCCCUAUGGGUUGUAAACUUCUUUUAUAAAGGAAUAAAACGAGGCACGUGUGCCUUUUUGCAUGUACUUUAUGAAUAAGGAUCGGCCAACUCCGUGCCAGCAGCCGCGGUAAUACGGAGGAUCCGAACGUUAACCGGAUUUAUUGGGGUUAAAGGGAGCGUAGAUUGGUUGUUAAGUCAGUUGUGAACGUUUGCGGAUCAACCGUAAAAUUGCAAGUGAUACUGGCAGUCUUGAGUACAGUUGAGGUAGGCGGAAUUCGUGGUGUAGCGGUGAAAUGCUUAGAUAUCACGAAGAACCCCGAUUGCGAAGGCAGCUUACUAAGCUGUGACUGACAUUGAUGCUCGAAAGUGUAGGUAUCAAACAGGAUUAGAUACCCGUGUAGUC